rnacentral:ncRNA from 1 species
AAACAGACGAAGAUGGAGACAAGUAAAAAGCGAGCAGACAAGUUUGAGCGAGUCAGCGAACGGUGCGAGGCUGAUAACUUUAACGCUUUUGAAAUCACUCUGGAGUCCCGUUUCCGAAAGUAAGUAAGAAAUGGCGCGAACCUAGCGUUAUAGGUGUAUCAAAGUGGGUGGCGAUCCGUCGUCAUCAACAAGGGUGGUACCGCGAUUCAUCUCGUCCCUUUU